UUAUUAUAAUUUGUUUUAAACAAAAAUCAGACGAUAUAAAAAGGGUGGAUAAAUGUCUUUGGCAGGCACCUUUCAGUUUAACCUUUCAAGCUUGCGCCAUCCAGGAUACCUGCCAAAGCAACAGUGUAGAUUCACAAGUGUGUAGAAGAGAGAGGGCCGAAGCCCAGACUUUCAUUAAUGAUCCUUCCGCAGGUUCACCUACGGAAA
rnacentral:misc_RNA from 1 species